GAUGAACGCUAGCUACAGGCUUAACACAUGCAAGUCGAGGGGAAACGACAUCGAAAGCUUGCUUUUGGUGGGCGUCGACCGGCGCACGGGUGAGUAACGCGUAUCCAACCUGCCCUUGUCCAUCGGAUAACCCGUCGAAAGGCGGACUAACACGAUAUGCAGUUCUCAGCAGGCAUCUAACGAGAACGAAAUGUGAAGGAGAAGGAUGGGGAUGCGUCUGAUUAGCUAGUUGGAGGGGUAACGGCCCACCAAGGCGACGAUCAGUAGCCGGUCUGAGAGGAUGAACGGCCACAUUGGGACUGAGACACGGCCCAGACUCCUACGGGAGGCAGCAGUGGGGGAAUCUUCCGCAAUGGACGAAAGUCUGACGGAGCAACGCCGCGUGAACGAUGACGGCCUGUGUAGUA
rnacentral:rRNA from 1 species